rnacentral:rRNA from 1 species
CCUACGGGAGGCAGCAGUGAGGAAUAUUGGUCAAUGGACGAGAGUCUGAACCAGCCAAGUAGCGUGAAGGAUGACUGCUCUAUGGGUUGUAAACUUCUUUUAUAUGGGAGUAAAGUGUUCCACGUGUGGGAUUCUGUAUGUACCAUACGAAUAAGGAUCGGCUAACUCCGUGCCAGCAGCCGCGGUAAUACGGAGGAUGCAAGCGUUAUCCGGAUUUAUUGGGUUUAAAGGGCGCGUAGGUGGAUUGCUAAGUCAGAUGUGAAAGUUUGAGGCUCAACCGUAAAAUUGCAGUUGAAACUGGUAGGCUUGAGUACAGGAGAGGUAGGCGGAAUGCGUGGUGUAGCGGUGAAAUGCGUAGAUAGCAGGAAGAACACCGAUGGCGAAGGCAGCUUACUGGACUGCAACUGACGGUGAGGCGCGAAAGCGUGGGGAGCAAACAGGAUUAGAUACCCGGGUAGUC